rnacentral:misc_RNA from 1 species
CGCACAUUGCGCCCGCCAGUAUUCUGGCGGGCAUGCCUGUCUGAGCGUCAUUUCAACCCUCAUGCCCCCCGGGGCGUGGUGUUGGGGAUCGGCCGAAGCCCGCAAGGGACGGGCCGUCCCCUAAAUAUAGUGGCGGACCCGCUGUGGCCUCCCCUGCGAAGUAGUGAUAUUCCGCAUUGGAGCAGCAGCGAGACCCUGCCGUUAAACCCCCAACUUUCCAAGGUUGACCUCAGAUCAGGUAGGAAUACCCGCUGAACUUAA